rnacentral:rRNA from 1 species
CAUGGCAGACGGGUGAGUAACGCGUGGGAAACCUACCUCUUUGUGGGGAAUAACGCUCCGAAAGGAGUGGUAAUACCGCAUGAGACCAUGGACUGGGACGUCCAUGGUGAAACCUGGGGACCGUAAGGCCUGGGGCAAGGAGAGGGUCCUGCGUCUGAUUAGCUAGUUGGUGGGGUAACGGCCUACCAAGGCAACGAUCAGUAGCCGGCCUGAGAGGGUGAUCGGCCACACUGGAACUGAGACACGGUCCAGACUCCUACGGGAGGCAGCAGUGGGGAAUUUUGCGCAAUGGGCGAAAGCCUGACGCAGCAACGCCGCGUGGGUGAUGAAGGUCUUCGGAUCGUAAAACCCUGUCGUCAGGGACGAAGGUUAGUCGUUGAAUAGGCGAUUGACUUGACGGUACCUGGAGAGGAAGCCCCGGCUAACUCUGUGCCAGCAGCCGCGGUAAUACAGAGGGGGCAAGCGUUAUUCGGAAUUAUUGGGCGUAAAGGGCGCGUAGGCGGUUUUUUAAGUGAGAUGUGCAAUCCCCGAGCUUAACUUGGGAACUGCAUCUCAGACUGGAAGGCUAGAGUGCUGGAGAGGGUGGUAGAAUUCCACGUGUAGCGGUGAAAUGCGUAGAGAUGUGGAGGAAUACCAGUGGCGAAGGCGGCCACCUGGACAGUAACUGACGCUGAGGCGCGAAAGUGUGGGUAGCAAACAGGAUUAGAUACCCUGGUAGUCCACGCUGUAAACGAUGAACACUUGGUGUGG